rnacentral:rRNA from 1 species
UACGUAGGGGGCUAGCGUUGUCCGGAUUUAUUGGGCGUAAAGAGCGUGUAGGCGGCUAUGCAGGUCCGCUGUGAAAACUCGAGGCUCAACCUCGAGACGUCGGUGGAAACCGCAUGGCUAGAGUCCGGAAGAGGAGAGUGGAAUUCCCGGUGUAGCGGUGAAAUGCGCAGAUAUCGGGAAGAACACCCGUGGCGAAGGCGGCUCUCUAGUACGGUACUGACGCUGAGACGCGAAAGCGUGGGGAGCGAACAGG